rnacentral:rRNA from 1 species
AUACGUAGGGGGCAAGCGUUGUCCGGAAUGAUUGGGCGUAAAGGGCGCGUAGGCGGCCCGGUAAGUCUGAAGUGAAAGUCCUGGUUUUAAGUUGGGAAUUGCUUUGGAUACUGUCGGGCUUGAGUGCAGGAGAGGUAAGUGGAAUUCCCAGUGUAGCGGUGAAAUGCGUAGAGAUUGGGAGGAACACCAGUGGCGAAGGCGACUUACUGGACUGUAACUGACGCUGAGGCGCGAAAGUGUGGGGAGCAAACAGGAUUAGAUACCCUGGUAGUCCACACUGUAAACGAUGAAUGCUAGGUGUAGGGGGUAUCGACCCCUUCUGUGCCGCAGUAAACACAAUAAGCAUUCCGCCUGGGGAGUACGGCCGCAAGGUUGAAACUCAAAGGAAUUGACGGGG